UACAGAGGGUGCGAGCGUUGUCCGGAAUCACUGGGCGUAAAGGGCGCGUAGGUGGCGACCCAAGUCGAUGGUGAAAGCUCGCCGCUCAACGGCGAGUCGGCCACCGAUACUGGGUUGCUCGAGCACUGUAGAGGCUAAUGGAAUUCCGGGUGUAGCGGUGGAAUGCGUAGAGAUCCGGAAGAGGACCGGUGGCGAAGGCGGUUAGCUGGGCAGUUGCUGACACUGAGGCGCGACAGCGUGGGGAGCAAACAGG
rnacentral:rRNA from 1 species